AAAAGACCUUCUUCGGAGGAUAUGCUUAAAGAGGGGCUUGCGUCACAUUAGUUAGUUGGUAGGGUAAUGGCCUACCAAGACGAUGAUGUGUAGCUGGACUGAGAGGUUGAACAGCCACAUUGGGACUGAGACACGGCCCAAACUCCUACGGGAGGCAGCAGUAGGGAAUUUUCGGCAAUGGAGGAAACUCUGACCGAGCAACGCCGCGUGAACGACGAAGUACUUCGGUAUGUAAAGUUCUUUUAUUGAAGAAGAAACAAUAGUGGAAAAACUAUCUUGACGUUAUUCAAUGAAUAAGCCCCGGCUAACUAUGUGCCAGCAGCCGCGGUAAUACAUAGGGGGCGAGCGUUAUCCGGAAUUAUUGGGCGUAAAGGGUGCGUAGGCGGUUUAAUAAGUCUCUAGUUUAAUUUCAACGCUUAACGUUGUUCUGCUAGAGAAACUGUUUGACUAGAGUGAGAUAGAGGUAAGCGGAAUUCCAUGUGUAGCGGUAAAAUGUGUAAAUAUAUGGAGGAACACCAGAGGCGUAGGCGGCUUACUGGGUCUUUACUGACGCUGAUGCACGAAAGCGUGGGGAGCAAACAGGAUUAGAUACCCUGGUAGUCCACGCCGUAAACUAUGAGUACUAAGUGUCGGGGUUAAACUCGGUACUGAAGUUAACACAUUAAGUACUCCGCCUGAGUAGUACGUACGCAAGUAUGAAACUUAAAGGAAUUGACGGGAUCCCGCACAAGCGGUGGAUCAUGUUGUUUAAUUCGAAGAUACACGAAAAACCUUACCAGGUCUUGACAUACUCUGCAAAACUAUAGAAAUAUAGUGGAGGUUAUCAGGGAUACAGGUGGUGCAUGGUUGUCGUCAGCUCGUGUCGUGAGAUGUUAGGUUAAGUUCUAAAACGAGCGCAACCCCUGUCGUUAAUUGCCAGCACGUUAUGGUGGGGACUUUAGCGAGACUGCCAAUGAAAAAUUGGAGGAAGGUGGGGAUUACGUCAAAUCAUCAUGCCCCUUAUGAUCUGGGCUACAAACGUGAUACAAUGGCUAUUACAAAGAGUGGCUUAAACGCGAGUUUUUGGCAAAUCUCAAAAAAAUAGUCUUAGUUCGGAUUGAAGUCUGCAACUCGACUUCAUGAAGUUGGAAUCGCUAGUAAUCGCGAAUCAGCA
rnacentral:rRNA from 1 species